rnacentral:rRNA from 1 species
GACUAUACAAAGGUAUUGAAAUAAGACUUUAAUUGAGUGCUAAGAGAAUGGAAUUACAGGAAAAAUCUUUUUUAAACUUAACAAUUAAAGUUAUUUUUACUUGUGAAGAAACAGUAAUAAAAAUUAAGGACAAGAAGACCCUAUGAAUUUUUAGAAACAUAUUUCAAUAAAGAAGAUAUGUUUCUUUAAUUGGGGCGAUUAAUUAAUAUUAAAAACUUUUUUGAAAAAACAUGAACCGUUUAAUAACGGUAAUUUGGUAAAAAUACUCUAGGGAUAACAGCGUA